GACGAACGCUGGCGGCGUGCCUAAUACAUGCAAGUCGAACGCAGUGGGGACGGGUGAGUAACACGUGGGUAACCUCAAAUCAGAGGGGAUAAAACUUGGAAACAGGUGCUAACACGAUACUGAUGGAUGAACCGGCGGUGCAUUAGCUAGUUGGUUGGGUAACGGCUCACCAAGGCCACGAUGCAUAGCCGACCUGAGAGGUUGAUCGGCCACACUGGGACUGAGACACGGCCCAGACUCCUACGGGAGGCAGCAGUAGGGAAUCUUCGGCAAUGGACGAAAGUCUGACCGAGCAACGCCGCGUGAGUGAAGAAGGUUUUCGGAUCGUAAACCUCUGUUGUUAGAGAAGCGGUAUCUAACCAGAAAGCCACGGCUAACUACGUGCCAGCAGCCGCGGUAAUAC
rnacentral:rRNA from 1 species